AAGGAUUUAGGUACCAGACAUGCCAGUGAGUAAAUUCUUCAGAGAGCAGAGAAUGUUCCCCUGAUUUAGAAAUGAGGGACAGUGAAUUGGAAGAGACAGUUGGCAAGUCUGGCUUCACAGAAACUAUUAUGUCACGAGCUGGAUGACGAGUGGCGGCAAUGUAGGUACAGCGAGAAGACAUGAGCGGUCGACACUGUAAUGAGUGCACGAGACAGGAUGACUUCUAUUAUCGCCUGCACUCAAACUCUCCUCUUGACCGACUGACUACUCUAUAACCCACCGGACUAGUUCACUCAAAACCAAACGCCGGUUCAGUCAAAUACCGGAAAGAU